GAUGAAGAACGCAGCGAAAUGCGAUAAGUAGUGUGAAUUGCAGAAUUCAGUGAAUCAUCGAAUCUUUGAACGCACAUUGCGCCCCCUGGUAUUCCGGGGGGCAUGCCUGUCCGAGCGUCAUUGCUGCCCUCAAGCCCGGCUUGUGUGUUGGGUCUCGUCCCCCUUCCCGGGGGGACGGGCCCGAAAGGCAGCGGCGGCACCGUGUCCGGUCCUCGAGCGUAUGGGGCUUUGUCACCCGCUCUGUAGGCCCGGCCGGCGCUUGCCGAUCAACCAAAACUUUUUUCCAGGUUGACCUCGGAUCAGGUAGGGAUACCCGCUGAACUUAAGCAUAUCAAUAAGCGGAGGA
rnacentral:misc_RNA from 1 species